AUACCAAUCUAGCCCCGGCUAGGUCUUGGGCUCCGCCAUCCGGCGGGCCUUAAAAUCAGUGGCGGUGCUCCUCAGCUCUACGCGUAGUAAUUUUCUCGCUAUAGGGUCUGUGGAGAUGCUUGCCAGCAACCCCAAAUUUUUCUA
rnacentral:misc_RNA from 1 species